CAGGACGAACGCUGGCGGCAUGCCUAACACAUGCAAGUCGAGCGAUGAAGCUUCUUCGGAAGUGGAUUAGCGGCGGACGGGUGAGUAACACGUGGGCAACCUGCCUCAUAGUGGGGAAUAGCCUCUCGAAAGGGAGAUUAAUACCGCAUAAGAUUGUAGUUCCGCAUGGAACAGCAAUUAAAGGAGCAAUCCGCUAUGAGAUGGGCCCGCGGCGCAUUAGCUAGUUGGUGAGGUAACGGCUCACCAAGGCGACGAUGCGUAGCCGACCUGAGAGGGUGAUCGGCCACAUUGGGACUGAGACACGGCCCAGACUCCUACGGGAGGCAGCAGUGGGGAAUAUUGCACAAUGGGGGAAACCCUGAUGCAGCAAUGCCGCGUGAGUGAUGACGGCCUUCGGGUUGUAAAGCUCUGUCUUCAGGGACGAUAAUGACGGUACCUGAGGAGGAAGCCACGGCUAACUACGUG
rnacentral:rRNA from 1 species